rnacentral:rRNA from 1 species
UACGUAGGUGGCAAGCGUUGUCCGGAUUUAUUGGGUUUAAAGGGUGCGUAGGCGGCUUUGUAAGUCAGUGGUGAAAUACGGUAGCUUAACUAUCGAGGUGCCAUUGAUACUGCAGAGCUUGGGUACAGAUGAGGUAGGCGGAAUUGACGGUGUAGCGGUGAAAUGCUUAGAUAUCGUCAAGAACACCUAUAGCGAAGGCAGCUUACUAGGCUGUAACUGACGCUGAGGCACGAAAGUGUGGGGAUCAAACAGG